CUAGUCAAGACACUUUUGAAGCUGAAAGUGCAACCUUUUUGGAAGACAGUGAUACUGAUGUUGAAUUUUUUGAUGUCUUGCAAGCUUAAACAAUUGCAGUACAAGCAGAAGUACAGAAUGGGUUUUGCCAAACUGAAGAAGACCAUUGCAGGCAAUGUGUUCAAUACAAAGAAAACAUGAGGCAAUUCAAGAGAAUGAUAGAAAGCAAGCAUGCUAUUAUCCAACAACUUACUGAA